rfam:Octopus bimaculoides Scaffold20313_contig_52, whole genome shotgun sequence.
UAUUGCUUCGGUGAUAGACAUACUAAAAUUGAAAUGAUACAGACAAGAUUAGCAUGGCCCCUGCACAAGGAUGUCACAUAAAUUCAUGAAGCGUUACAUAUAUUU